rnacentral:rRNA from 1 species
CCUACGGGUGGCAGCAGUCGAGAAUCAUUCACAAUGGGGGAAACCCUGAUGGUGCGACGCAGCGUGGGGGAAUGCAGGUCUUCGGAUUGUAAACCCCUGUCAUGUGGGAGCAAAUUAAAAAGAUAGUACCACAAGAGGAAGAGACGGCUAACUCUGUGACAGCAGCAGCGGUAAUACAGAGGUCUCAAGAGUUGUUCGGAAUCACUGGGCGUAAAUCGUGCGUAGGCGGUUUCGUAAGUCGUGUGUGAAAGGCGCGGGCUCAACCCGCGGACGGCACAUGAUACUGCGAGACUCGGGUAAUGGAGGGGGAACCGGAAUUCUCGGUGUAGCAGUUAAAUGCGUCGAUAUCGAGAGGAACACUCGUGGCGAAGGCGGGUUCCUGGACAUUAACUGACGCUGAGGCACGAAGGCCAGGGGAGCGAAAGGGAUUAGAUACCCGGGUAGUC